CCAGAGGUGAGAAUGUUUAAGUGGCACUCAACCAGAGAGCCAGUGAUGAAAUCUAGGAUUUUAGGUGGCUGCAUUCAUGGACAUGUUUUAAUGUGGUACGAACCUAAAUGAUAGGACUAGGAAGAGUGGAACUACAGCACGUUUAAGUUAAUGACUAGGCCAAUAAGUGGCUUGGGUGGGGGUCACUAAAAAAGCAGAAAAAUGAUACUCUUGCCGUCAUGGGUGGUAUAGAAGUUUUACAG
rnacentral:lncRNA from 1 species